UACGUAGGGUGCAAGCGUUAAUCGGAAUUACUGGGCGUAAAGCGUGCGCAGGCGGUUUUGUAAGUCUGUCGUGAAAUCCCCGGGCUCAACCUGGGAAUUGCGAUGGAGACUGCAAGGCUAGAAUCUGGCAGAGGGGGGUAGAAUUCCACGUGUAGCAGUGAAAUGCGUAGAGAUGUGGAGGAACACCGAUGGCGAAGGCAGCCCCCUGGGUUAAGAUUGACGCUCAUGCACGAAAGCGUGGGGAGCAAACAGG
rnacentral:rRNA from 1 species